GACACGUUACACACGUUACACCCAUUUUUUUUAUAAAUAAAUAUAUAUAUAUAUAUAUUUUUUUAAAAACAAUGGGUGUAACGUGUGUAACGUGUU